rnacentral:rRNA from 1 species
GACGAACGCUGGCGGCGUGCUUAACACAUGCAAGUCGAACGGAAAGGCCCUGCUUUUGUGGGGUGCUCGAGUGGCGAACGGGUGAGUAACACGUGAGUAACCUGCCCUUGACUUUGGGAUAACUUCAGGAAACUGGGGCUAAUACCGGAUAUGAGCUCCUGCUGCAUGGUGGGGGUUGGAAAGUUUCGGCGGUUGGGGAUGGACUCGCGGCUUAUCAGCUUGUUGGUGGGGUAGUGGCUUACCAAGGCUUUGACGGGUAGCCGGCCUGAGAGGGUGACCGGCCACAUUGGGACUGAGAUACGGCCCAGACUCCUACGGGAGGCAGCAGUGGGGAAUAUUGCACAAUGGGCGGAAGCCUGAUGCAGCAACGCCGCGUGCGGGAUGACGGCCUUCGGGUUGUAAACCGCUUUCGCCUGUGACGAAGCGUGAGUGACGGUAAUGGGUAAAGAAGCACCGGCUAACUACGU